UUGGCUCUUCUCGCGUGCGACUAAUUAUCGACAAGGAGAGGAACCCGCAACUUCCGGUUUGAGCUUCAAAGUCUUUGGUGUCUUGUAGCGUACUGCUAUCGAAACUCGAAGGAAUCUUAUCAGAGAGUAAUCCUGAAACUCUAUAGAUAAAUCGAGGGAAUAAAGGUAAUUUACAAUGAGGAUAAGUCGACAAAAUAACGAAGCUAUUCCCAAAGGUCUACAAGUUUACGUUCAUGAGGAAGCGAGAAGCGUCGCUAAAACCCAAUGAACCUUCUCCAGUCUGAUGAAAUAAUUCGAAAACGGUAUUCAAAUAUGGAGAACCACUUGCUCGACGUUCUUCCUCACAAUAGAAUCAUUGUGUCCAUGAAACUGGAAUAAAUCUUGAAGGCUAUUUUAAGGAUAAUAAAGGAACAAUCAUGUGUGAGUUAUUGUUGGAUAACUUCUAACAUGUUUCACAACGAGCACCAAGGAUCCUUUGUUAUCGUUGUUCAUCUAUGCCUUCCAUAAGCAGUGGUGAAAAGAAGACAAAGAAGAAGAAGAAGAAGAGAAAGAGGCGGAGGAAGAAGAAGAAGAAGAAGAAGAAGAAGAAGAAGAAGAAGAAGAAGAAAAGAACGAGGAGAAAGAAGAUGGAGAAAAAGAAGGACAGAGAGGAAGGGCCCCAUGCUCUUGACGUCGCCCCAAUGAGUUAAGAUGUUAUCAGACUGGCUCGCUGUGUUUACCCAAAGGCGGACUAAAGCCGAUGCUAGCCUCGUCGUCCCGUCUCCUUUACAAGCUUUAUCAGUUAUUUACAUUCAGAGCCGACCAAGGAGAGCCUUCCUUCAAACCUAUUCAACCUACCACUAACACCAUCGCCACCGGGAACAUCGUAAAUGACACAUUUCGAGAAUAGAAAAAAAAAGUAGGUAUAUAUUUAAAGGGGUCGAUACCCUUUUCUCCGAAAAAAGGGUAGAAAAUGUGAGGAAGGAUGACAGGGAAGAGACAAUAAUGAACACAUGUGAUAAUCCUUUUGAUCAUUAAAAAAUGAUAUUUUAUUCGACGAGAAGAAAUGAGGUUAGCGGCGUUUUAGAAUAUGUUUCUUUUAAUGUUUUUUUCUUUUUUCUUUUUUUGUUUUUCUUUUCUCUUUUUCUUUUUUAAUCCAUUUGCAUCAUGCGUCUACUUAAUGUGCCGUUUAUUUAAAAAUCAGCAAUGUUCAAUUGAUGAUCGGCCCCCUAUCACCGCGCGAAGUCGGUCAUAAGUGCAGUUUAUAUAUACAAUAGAAUUAUACUUUUUAAAACAAUUGAUACAUCGCAAACAACGAAAAAUAAUCGCGGACUCGCGGAUAUAUCCGCACUCAGUGAUAAAGGAUAGUUGUGGGUUCACGGAUAUAUCCGCGCAUGGAAACAAGUGGUUUAAUUUUUUGAUGUGUUCCGAUUUUAACACAUUUCUCGACAAGGAAUACGUAUAGUACGUGAUACGAACCAAAUAGAAAAAAUCUUUGACCUGCUAAUGCAGGUAAAACUUGAACUUUGACUACGAAGUCGACUAUAAAAAAAAAAAAAAAAAGAUAUUCAGAGUAAUCGGAAAUAUUUCAUGUAAUUGUCCUUUUUGAUUGAAAAUAAUCGAGUUUGAUCGAAAAAUGAAGA